rnacentral:ncRNA from 1 species
ACGAUAGAGGUCGCGAAAGAUAUAACUACCGGAGCGGAGGCAGGCAGGUGCCGGUGAAGCCCCGGGAAAGGAUCUUUCGCCGAAAUCUCCCGUAUCUUUGCACUGCGGGAGGUUGGGGCGCGGCAGAAAAUGUCGCGAACUGUCACUUUAUGUGGAGAGCUAUCU